ACUUGAAUAGCUUAUAUAGAGCAUAACAUUGAAGAUGUUAUUGAGAUUUAGAAUCUUUAAGUG
rnacentral:tRNA from 1 species